rnacentral:rRNA from 1 species
AAAUAACAAUACAGGGCAAUUGUCUUGUAAUUGGAAUGAUGGUGACCUAAACCCUCACCAGAGUAACAAUUGGAGGGCAAGUCUGGUGCCAGCAGCCGCGGUAAUUCCAGCUCCAAUAGCGUAUAUUAAACUUGUUGCAGUUAAAAAGCUCGUAGUUGAAUUUUUGCGUCACCGUGUAUCGACAUUGGUCGUUUAUCGGUUUCGCUUUUGGGAUUUAUCCCUUUUUACUUUGAGAAAAUUAGAGUGUUUCAAGCAGACUUUUGUCUUGAAUACUUCAGCAUGGAAUAAUAGAGUAGGACUUUGGUUCUAUUUUGUUGGUUUGUGAACCUUAGUAAUGGUUAAUAGGAACGGUUGGGGGCAUUCGUAUUUA